rnacentral:rRNA from 1 species
AGUGAACGCUGGCGGUAGGCCUAACACAUGCAAGUCGAACGGCAGCACAGUAAGAGCUUGCUCUUACGGGUGGCGAGUGGCGGACGGGUGAGGAAUACAUCGGAAUCUACUUUUUCGUGGGGGAUAACGUAGGGAAACUUACGCUAAUACCGCAUACGACCUACGGGUGAAAGCAGGGGAUCUUCGGACCUUGCGCGAUUGAAUGAGUCGAUGUCGGAUUAGCUAGUUGGCGGGGUAAAGGCCCACCAAGGCGACGAUCCGUAGCUGGUCUGAGAGGAUGAUCAGCCACACUGGAACUGAGACACGGUCCAGACUCCUUCGGGAGGCAGCAGUGGGGAAUAUUGGACAAUGGGCGCAAGCCUGAUCCAGCCAUACCGCGUGGGUGAAGAAGGCCUUCGGGUUGUAAAGCCCUUUUGUUGGGAAAGAAAAGCAGCAGGUUAAUACCCCGCUGUUCUGACGGUACCCAAAGAAUAAGCACCGGCUAACUUCGUG